rnacentral:rRNA from 1 species
GACGAACGCUGGCGGCGUGCUUAACACAUGCAAGUCGAACGGAAAGGCCCUGCUUUUGUGGGGUGCUCGAGUGGCGAACGGGUGAGUAACACGUGAGUAACCUGCCCUUGACUUUGGGAUAACUUCAGGAAACUGGGGCUAAUACCGGAUAGGAGCUCCUGCUGCAUGGUGGGGGUUGGAAAGUUUCGGCGGUUGGGGAUGGACUCGCGGCUUAUCAGCUUGUUGGUGGGGUAGUGGCUUACCAAGGCUUUGACGGGUAGCCGGCCUGAGAGGGUGACCGGCCACAUUGGGACUGAGAUACGGCCCAGACUCCUACGGGAGGCAGCAGAGGGGAAUGUUGCACAAUGGGCGGAAGCCUGAUGCAGCAACGCCGCGUGCGGGAUGACGGCCUUCGGGUUGUAAACCGCUUUCGCCUGUGACGAAGCGUGAGUGACGGUAAUGGGUAAAGAAGCACCGGCUAACUACGUG